GAUGGAGGAUAAUGUGAGAAAAAAUAUAUAAAGUGGGUUGCUUUGCUGUAUAGUAGAAAUUGGCCUAACAUCAUAAAUCAACUAUAAUUAAAAAAAUUUUAAAAAGAACUACAGUGCAUUCACAUCAGAAUGUAAGCUACUCAGCAGCGAUUUUUGUUUCAGUGCUCACUUUUUUUCCUAGUACCCAAAGUAGUACAUGAAUGCAAGUGAUACUGAGCAAAUACUUUCUAUUGAGUCUCAGCCAUUGCUUUUUUUUAAAACAUAAACUUUAUUUUGAAAUUUAUUUCCCUAGACUUUCCUUGUUUUUGAUGACCUUUACGGUUUUCAGGAGUACUCAUUAGGUAUUUUGCAGAAUGUCCUUUGGGUUUGUCUUAUGUUUUUCUCAUGAUUGGACUGGGGUUAUUUUCAUCACUCUUCAUGAGAGUAUAUUAUCAUCAUGAUUUAUCAUAGUUGAUAAUUUCCUUUGUUAACUUUCUUUAUUGCAGAGUCCUCCACCCCCACCUCCCAAUCUAUUUAGUACUGUAGUUUUUUAGAACUGCUAUAACAAAGUCCCACAAAUUUGGGGGCUUAAAAUUAUAGAUAGGUGUUCUUUCACAGUUCUGGAGAUGAGAAAUCUGAAAUCAAGGUAUUGGCAGGAUUGGUUCCUUCUGUGGGCUCUGAGGAAGAGUCUGCUCCAUGCCACUUUUCUAGCUUUUAGGGUUUUCUGGUGUCCCUGGUGUUCUUUGGUUUACUCAUGUAUCAUGCCAAUCUCUGGCCCUGUCUUCACAUGGCAUUGCAACCUUUGUAUCUGUGCUCAGAUUUCACUUGCAUCUGAAGGACAAUGAUCAGUGAAUUAGGGUCUACUCUAAUGACAUCAUCUUAAUUUUAUUACACGUACGAAGACCUUAUUAUAACCAUGGGUUAAAUCCACUUCACCUGCUUUCACUAAUCAAGGUUAUUUUAAGAGCUCCACGCUCUCCAAGGUGCAGGUAGCCUCAAUAACAUGAUGAUUUCCCUAGUUAAUUUUCUAGGAAUGUGGAGUCAGCUGUGUCUAGUAAAGCUGAGCUGGCUGAGACUGGAUAGGACCAUUGACCUUUCAACUAGGCUUAUGGGAGUGUCCAGCUUCAUGACCUCUUUUAACCAUAGAGGGAUGAAAUCUCCGCCCUCAGAAAGUGCCCGAGGCUUGUAGCUUAGUUACACUUGCAUUGGACAAUUACUGCACCUUUUCCCAAUCACCUUUAGCCACGCCCCGCACACCUCAGACCACCCUGCUGCUUUCUUCAUUAUCCUAUAAAUACCGAGAGCCCCUUACAUUCCGGAGGCAGAUUUGUGAUUUGUUCUCCUGUUAGUUUGGCUGCUAGCUACCUUACUGUGAACCUGUCUCUCUCUCUCUCUCUUUUUUUUUUUUUUAACUUGCUGUGUAUCCGGUAAAAUGAACCUGGUUUGACAAAGUUAUUUCCAGGCAUUCUCUGAUUUGGUGAAAUACAUAAAGGUGGAAGAAUUCACUUGCCAUCAUCUUCUGGCUAUCUUUCCUGGAGUCGACCUGAUUUAAGCUGUCAGAGUAACAGAGUAACAACUGCUUGAAGCACUUGAAGAUGGAAUUUACAAACACCCAGUUCUACGUGGGAGGGGAAAUCAGAACACAUGCAUGAGAAGAACAUUAUGUGAAGAUGAUGGCAGAGAACUACAUGCCCAGGAAUAUCAUGGCAGUGUUUCCUAGAAAACCACCAGAAGCUAGGAGAGAAGAUUGUAAUGGAUUCUUUCUUCAUCACUGCCCUCAUAAGGAAUCAGCACUCAUGACAACCUUGGACUUCAGGCCUCCAAAUGUGAGACAGUAAACUACAGACAUGCCUUGGCGAUAUUGUGGGUUCAGUUCAAGACCAGUAUAAUAAACAAGUACCACAAUUAAGAGCAUCACAUACAAUUUUUGUCUUCCCAUUGCAUAUAAAAUUUCUAUUUACAUUAACUGUAGUCUAUUAAGUAGAUGAUAGCAUUGUCUUAAAAAAAAAGAUGUGCAUACCUUAAUUGAAAGAUGCUGUAUUGCUAAAAAAAUGCUAACCGUCAUCUGAGUCUUCAAUGAAUUGUAAUAGUGACAUCAAAGACCACCAAUUAUGAUAUAAUAAUGAUAAAACAGUUUGAAAUAGUGUGAGAACUACCAAAAUGUAACACAGAAACACAAAGUGAGCAAAUGCUAGAAAAAAUGUUGCCAAAAGAAUUUCACGGUUACCAGAAACCUUCAGUUGGUAAAAAAUGCAAUAAAGUAAAGCACAAUAAAAUGAGGUAUGCCUGUAGAAUGGCUUAAGCCACUCAGUUUGUGGUACUUUGUUUUAUCAGCCUGAGCAAACCAAUAUAGGCACUCUUAGGUUCCCUCAUUUAUAACAAUUUAUAAAGAACAAUAAAUUAUGAAUUUGAACUUAAACAUGCAUUUCAUAUGGUUUUUUUUUAAAGUUUCUAUUUUGAAAAUGUUUAGAAAAUGCAGGAAACGUAUUAAAGGCUAAAGUCAGAAUCUCUCUAUAUGUUAACAUCUCAAAUGAAAAAUGGUCAUUUUUUUCAGAUUUAUAUUUUUAAACAUUUCAUUUACAAGUAAUUAUAGAUUCACAAGAAAUUGCUAAGAUAUUACAGAGAAGUCCUUUAUACCCUUUCCUCAGUUUUCCGCAAGGUACAGUGUAUAGAUGUACUAUAAUUAGCAUCUUAAAUAAUUAUAGUACAAGAUGAAAGCCAGAAAAUUGAUAUUGGUACAGUGUAUGUGUUAAUUUUCUAUUCUUUCAUUGCAUCAAUAAAUUGGUGUGACCUCUGCCACAUUCGUGAUACAGAACUGGUCCAUUACCACAGAGGUCUUCCCUAUGUCAACUACCUUUUCUAGUCACAACCCUCUCUUUCCCCGUCACCAUAUCUAAACCCUUGCAACUAUUGCUCUGUUUUCCAUCUCUAUAAUGUUUUCAUUUUGAAGAUAUUCUAAAAAUGGAAUCCUAAGUAAUGAAUUUUUGUUCAAAUUGGUCUUUUUUCACUCACCACAAUGCCUUUCAGAUUUAUUCAAGUUAUUACAUGUGUCAGUAGUUUGUUUCUUUUCAUUACUGAGUAGCAUGCCAUCAUAUUGUAUACCACAUUCUGUUUAAUCAUUCACCAGUGGAGGGUAUUUUGGUUAUUUCUAGCUUUGGGCUAAAUAAAUAUGCUAUAUUUAUGUGAAUGUAGAUUUUCAGUCCUCUGCCAUAAAUUCUGAAGAAUUCAACUGCUGGAGCCAAUGGAAAAUGUAUGUUUACUCUCUUAAUAAACUUCCAAACUAUUUUCUAGUGGCUGUACAAUUCUCACCAAAAAGGUAUGAGAGAUUCCAGUUUCUCUGAAUGCUCAUCCACAUUUGGUAGUACUACUAUUUUUCAUUUUAUUUGUUCUAAUAAAUAUGUAGUACUACUGUGGUUUUGAUUUAAUUUCUCUAGUAAACAGUGACAUUGAAAAUCUUUUAAAGUGCUUAUCUACUAACUAUAUAUAUCUUCUUUUCCAUUUUCUUUAUCCAUUCAUUCAUUGUUAGAUACAUAGGUUAUUUCUGUACCUUGGCUAUUAUGAAUAAUGCUGCAGUGAGCAUGAGAGUACAGAUAACUUCAAGAUAAAGCUUUCAUUUCCUUUGCAUAUAAAAACCCAUGUAACCCAUCAAAUGGGCCCAAGGUUUUGGCUGCAGGGGUCUUGGGGUACUGGGACUAGUGCCUAUAUAUUAUGGGUGGCUAGGUUCUGCACUCUCUGGUGGAUAGGGAAGUGUACUAGGGCAACUGUGUGCUCUGCUCAGGUCUUAAGGUAGCUUGUCUGGGAAUAGGUACAGUUCUGUUCUGCCUUCCCUCUCCUUCCCCCUCCAGGCUAGUUACUUGGCCUUAGAGGUCUCCAUAUUGGUGCCAAAAGGCUGGUGGAUGAGGCAUGGUCCUGGUGCUAAUAAGCUAGAAAGAGGAUUCCAAAAUGAUGCUUGCAAGCACCAGUGUCUACAUGGUAGAAUGAGCUCCCCCAAAUGGGUGCCAUCAGUAUUUAUGUCCAUAGAGUAAUUUCAAAUUACUUUUUGUCUCUCCAAGGUCAGUGGGUGGUUCUAAACUCAGAGUACUUUCAGAUCGCUUCUUUUUCCCUGAGUCAUGGAGCAUGUGAGAUUUUGUGUGUACCCUUUAAGAGUAGAACUCUAUUUUCUCCAGCCAUCUGCAUCUCCUGAAAAUAAGCUCCAUUGGUCUUCAAAGCCUGGGGACUCAUCUUCCCAGUGCAUGCCCCAGGCUAGAGAGCCCAAUGUGGGGCUCAGAUCUGUUGUUCCUUUUACAAUUGGAGUGCUUCUUCACUUGUAAUUAUCCACUCAUUUGUGUUCACCCACCAGUGUGUGUGGGUCUUAUAUACUAUGAUUCUAACCCUCCUACCCAUGUCACUAUGGUUUUUGAUUUCUAUGUUUCAUUGUAGAUUAUUUUGCUAGGUUCUGGUCUUUCUCAUCAAUAGUUGCUUUGUAAACAAUUAUAAUUUUGAUCUGCUUAUGAGAUGAGGUAAACUUGGGGUUUUCCUGCUCUACCAGCUUGGCCAAGCUCCCACUUUCAUUUCUGAUUUUAGCAAUUUUUUUUCUUCUUCCUCAGUCCAUCUAGUUUAAAGUUUGUUCACUUAUUCAUAGAACCAACUUUUGAAAUCAUUGAUUUCUCUCUUGUUACUCUAUUCUCUAUCUUGUUUAUAUCUUCUCUACUCCUUCUGUUAGUUUGGGUUUUGUAUGUUUUUCUCUGCUUCUUCUACUUCUCAAUCUUGGUUGUUGUUUUAAGAUCAUUCUUGUUUUUUGAUGUUAAGUGUCUAUAGCUAUGAAUUUUCCCUUAACACUGUUUUCACUAUGUACCAGUGUUUUGGUAUGUUGCAUUUUCAUUUUCAUUCAUCUUAAAUUCAUUCUAGUUUCACUUUGUGAUUUCUUUGAUUCAUUGAUCAUUUAAAAGUGUGUUAUUUUACUUUCCACAAAUUUUUGGAUUUUCUAGAUUUAUUUCUGGUAUUGUUUCUUUAAGUUCAUUCUUUUGUGGUUGGUGAAGACUGUAUGAUAUCUAACUUUUUAAAUCCAUUGAGACUUAAUUUGUGAAUUAACAGUCUCUCCUGGAAAAUUUCCCAUGAUCGCUUGAAAAAAACACAUCUGCUGCUCCUGUUGAGUAGGGUUCUCUUUAUGUCUAUUAGAUUGAGUUGAUACAUUGUGUUGUCUUUUAUUUAUUUUUUUAAGUUUAUAUGAUUUUUGUUUUUUCCAUUAUAGUUGAUUUACAGUUUUCUGUCAAUUUCUGCUUAACAGCAAAGUGACCUAGCCAUAUAUAUACAUUAUAUAUAUUAUAUUAUAUACAUAUAUUAUGUAUGUUCUUUUUCUCACAUUAUCCUCCAUGAUGUUCCAUCAGGUCUUUUAUUUCUUUGAUUAACUUCGUUCUGGUUGUUCUACACAUUAUUGAAUAUGGGGUAUUGAAGUGCCCAACAACUUUGAAGAACUAUUGCUUCCUUCUAUUCUGUCAGCUCUUAUUUCAUUUAUUUGCUUAUCUAUUAUUGGGUGCAUAAUUGCUAUAUUUUUUGAUGUAUUGAAUAUCUUAUUAGUAUAUAUUUAGCUAAUAUAUAUUAAUAUGUUAUGUCUUACCUGUCUUUUGUGAACUCUUUUGACCAAGACUAUUUUGACUUACAGUCAUGUAGUCACCCUUGCUCACUUUUGGUUACUGUUUGCAUGGAAUAUCUUUUUCUGCCUUUUCACAUUCAACCUAUUUGUAUCUCCGAAUCUAAGAUGAGUCUCUUGUAGACGUCAUAUAGUUGGAUCAUAUAUUUUUAUCCAUUCUGCCAAUAUGUAUUUUUGACAAAUUUAAUCCAUUGCAUUUAAAGUCAUUAUUGAUCAGGAGGGACUUCUGUCAUCAUUCUGCUAUUUGUUUUCUACAUGCCUAAUAGCUCUUUUGUCUAUUUCAUGCAUUACUGUUUUCUUUAGUGGUUAGCUGUUUUUUGGUGGGAAAUGUUUAAAUUCCUUUCUAAUUUUCUCUUUUGUACAUUCUAUAGCUAUUUUCUUUUGGUUACCAUGGGGAUUACAUUUAACAUUCUAAAUUUAUAACACUCUAAUUUGAAUUUACACCAGUUUAACUUCAAUAAAAUAUAAAACUCUGCUCUUUUACUGGCAGAUAACACAAAAUUACAUCUUUAUGCAAUGUCUACCCCAAACAUAAACUAAUAAUUAUUUUAAAUUCUUAGUCUUUUAAAUUAUGUAGACGUGUGGAAUUACAAACUAAAUGUAUAAUAUUACUAGCUUUUAGACUAAUAUUUUAAAAAAUUUAUAUUAGUGCCUUAAAACAUGUAUUUAAAAAAUGGAGUUACAAACCAUUGUUAUAGUAAUACUGGCAUUCAUAAUUGCUUGUAUAUUUACUAAGAUGUUUAUUACUUCAUACAGCCUUGAGUUACCAUUUAGUGGUCAUUCAUUUCAUGGUGGAGGACUGUCUUGAGCAUUUCUUGUAGGGCAGGUAAGGUCUAGUGGUAAAGAAUUCUCUCAACUCUUAUUUAUCUAGGAAUGUCUUAAUUUCUCCUUCAGUCUUGAAGGAAAAAAAAUCUUUUAAGAAAUUCCACUUUUGCAAUCUCUGGCUCUUCAUUUGUAUUUUCAAUAUUUUUAUAUAAUGUAGUUACUUAUACGUUUGGGCUAUGUCUAAAAUUUUAGUACUUUAGUAUUUAUUUUAUGUUUGCUCUAUUUUUUUUUCUUUUUUAGGGCCACACCUGCAGGAUAUGGUAGC